rnacentral:rRNA from 1 species
AUUGAACGCUGGCGGCAUGCCUAACACAUGCAAGUCGAACGAGUGGCGGACGGGUGAGUAAUGUCUGGAAAACUGCCUGAUGGAGGGGGAUAACUACUGGAAACGGUAGCUAAUACCGCAUACCAUCGGAUGUGCCCAGAUGGGAGUAGCUAGUAGGUGGGGUAAAGGCUCACCUAGGCGACGAUCCCUAGCUGGUCUGAGAGGAUGACCAGCCACACUGGAACUGAGACACGGUCCAGACGCCUACGGGAGGCAGCAGUGGGGAAUAUUGCACAAUGGGCGCAAGCCUGAUGCAGCAAUGCCGCGUGUAUGAAGAAGGCCUUCGGGUUGUAAAGUACUUUCAGUGGGGAGGCGGUACCUGUCGAAGAAGCACCGGCUAACUCCGUGCCAGCAGCCGCGGUAAUAC